rnacentral:ncRNA from 1 species
CUGCGGACUUAAUUUAAUUGAGCUUUAGUUGAGAAAUUUACUAAAUGAUUGUUUUCAAAUUCAGGGAAACCUAGGUUGCAAAAAAAAAGAUUAAAAUUAGGUAAUCCUGAGCCAAAUUUUGUUUACUAAAACAAAAGAGGUGCAGAGACUCAAAGAAAACUAUCCUAACGAAAUGUUUUGUCCUUUUUUUAAUUCGGAUAAAUACAA